rnacentral:rRNA from 1 species
ACACGUAUGCAACCUGUCCGGUACAGGGGGAUAAGCGGCGGAAACGCCGUCUAAUACCGCGUGACAACCCGAGGGGGCAUCCCCUUGGGUUCAAAGGAGAGAUCCGGUACCGGCUGGGCAUGCGGCGCAUUAGCUAGUUGGCGGGGCAACGGCCCACCAAGGCGACGAUGCGUAGGGGUUCUGAGAGGAAGGUCCCCCACACUGGAACUGAGACACGGUCCAGACUCCUACGGGAGGCAGCAGUGAGGAAUAUUGGUCAAUGGGCGCAAGCCUGAACCAGCCAAGUCGCGUGAGGGAAGACAGCCCUACGGGUUGUAAACCUCUUUUGCCGGGGAGCAAGCCUGAGCACGUGUGCCCAGGCGGAGAGUACCCGGAGAAAAAGCAUCGGCUAACUCCGUGCCAGCAGCCGCGGUAAUACGGAGGAUGCGAGCGUUAUCCGGAUUUAUUGGGUUUAAAGGGUGCGCAGGCGGGCUGUUAAGCCGGCGGUAAAAAUUCAGGGCUCAACCCUGUCGAGCCGUCGGAACUGGCAGUCUUGAGUGGGCGAGAAGUAUGCGGAAUGCGUGGUGUAGCGGUGAAAUGCAUAGAUAUCACGCAGAACGCCGAUUGCGAAGGCAGCAUACCGGCGCCCAACUGACGCUGAGGCACGAAAGCGUGGGGAUCGAACAGGAUUAGAUACCCUGGUAGUCCACGCAGUAAACGAU